rnacentral:rRNA from 1 species
CCUACGGGAGGCAGCAGUAGGGAAUCUUNCGCAAUGGACGCAAGUNUGACGGAGCAACGCCGCGUGAGUGACGAAGGUUUUCGGAUCGUAAAACUCUGUUGUGAGGGAAGAACACGUACCAGGUAACUACUGGUACCUUGACGGUACCUCACCAGAAAGCCACGGCUAACUACGUGCCAGCAGCCGCGGUAAUACGUAGGUGGCAAGCGUUGUCCGGAAUUAUUGGGCGUAAAGCGCGCGCAGGCGGUCCUUUAAGUCUGAUGUGAAAGCCCACGGCUCAACCGUGGAGGGUCAUUGGAAACUGGAGGACUUGAGUGCAGAAGAGGAAAGUGGAAUUCCAUGUGUAGCGGUGAAAUGCGUAGAGAUGUGGAGGAACACCAGUGGCGAAGGCGACUUUCUGGUCUGUAACUGACGCUGAGGCGCGAAAGCGUGGGGAGCAAACAGGAUUAGAUACCCUGGUAGUCCACGCCGUAAACGAUGAGUGCUAAGUGUUAGGGGGUUUCCGCCCCUUAGUGCUGCAGCUAACGCAUUAAGCACUCCGCCUGGGGAGUACGGCCGCAAGGCUGAAACUCAAAUGAAUUGACGGGG